AACGAACGCUGGCGGCAUGCCUAACACAUGCAAGUCGAACGAGACCUUCGGGUCUAGUGGCGCACGGGUGCGUAACGCGUGGGAACCUGCCCUUAGGUUCGGAAUAACUCCCCGAAAGGGGUGCUAAUACCGGAUAAUGUCUUCGGACCAAAGAUUUAUCGCCUUUGGAUGGGCCCGCGUUGGAUUAGCUAGUUGGUAGGGUAAAAGCCUACCAAGGCGACGAUCCAUAGCUGGUCUGAGAGGAUGAUAAGCCACACUGGGACUGAGACACGGCCCAGACUCCUACGGGAGGCAGCAGUGGGGAAUAUUGGACAAUGGGCGAAGGCCUGAUCCAGCAAUGCCGCGUGAGUGAUGAAGGCCUUAGGGUUGUAAAGCUCUUUUACCCGGGAUGAUAAUGACAGUACCGGGAGAAUAAGCUCCGGCUAACUACGUG
rnacentral:rRNA from 1 species